rnacentral:rRNA from 1 species
CCCUUAGAUGUUCUGGGCCGCACGCGCGCUACACUGAUGCAUUCAACGAGUCUAAAACCUGGUCUGAUAGGGCUGGGUAAUCUUUUGAAUGUGCAUCGUGAUUGGGAUAGAUGAUUGCAAUUCUUCAUCUUCAACGAGGAAUGCCUAGUAAACGCAAGUCAUCAGCUUGCAUUGAUUACGUCCCUGCCCUUUGUACACACCGCCCGUCGCUCCUACCGAUGGAACGAUCCGGUGAAAACUCUGGAUUGGAGGGUUUGGUUGUUGCUUUGCAACACUACCCUUCGAGAAAUUGUUUGAAUCUUAUCGUUUAGAGGAAGGAGAAGUCGUAACA